rnacentral:rRNA from 1 species
UAGGGAAUCUUCCGCAAUGGACGCAAGUCUGACGGAGCAACGCCGCGUGAGUGAAGAAGGUUUUCGGAUCGUAAAGCUCUGUUGUUAAGGAAGAACGAGUGUGAGAAUGGAAAGUUCAUACUGUGACGGUACUUAACCAGAAAGGGACGGCUAACUACGUGCCAGCAGCCGCGGUAAUACGUAGGUGGCAAGCGUUGUCCGGAUUUAUUGGGCGUAAAGCGAGCGCAGGCGGUCAAUUAAGUCUGAUGUGAAAGCCCCCGGCUCAACCGGGGAGGGUCAUUGGAAACUGGUUGACUUGAGUGCAGAAGAGGAGAGUGGAAUUCCAUGUGUAGCGGUGAAAUGCGUAGAUAUAUGGAGGAACACCAGUGGCGAAGGCGACUCUCUGGUCUGUAACUGACGCUGAGGUUCGAAAGCGUGGGUAGCAAACAGG